ACACAGUCAGCCCAAUGAAGGAGGAGGAGGAAAAGGAGGAGAAGAAGAAAAGAAAAAGAAAGAAAGAGAGAGGAAGAGGAAGAUGAUCAGAGUGGAAAUGUGGCCAGGCGAGGUGGCUCAUGCCUGUAAUCCCAGCACUUUGGGAGGCUGAGGGUCUGGAGUGGGACAUUUUCAGCAGAUCAUUUUGUUAUCAUACGAACGCAGCCUAACCACCUGCUACUCCAAGUGAGAGUCAAAAUCCAGCAGCAUUGGUCUCACCUGAAAAGAACUGAGGUCGCAAGACAACAAACUGGUCCUAAAUAAAAAGUAAGAAAAAUGCCGGGGAGGAGCCAAGAUGGCCAAAUAGGAACAGCUCCGGUCUACAGCUCCCAGCGUGAGCGACGCGGAAAAUGGGUGAUUUCUGCAUUUCCAUCGGAGGUACCGGGUUCAUCUCACUAGGGAGUGCCAGACAGUGGGCACAGAGUCUCACUUGGUUGCUCAGACUGGAGUACAGUGGUACGAUCUCGACUCACUGAAACCUCUGCUUCCUGGCUUCAAGCAUUUCUCCUGCCUCAGCCUCCUGAGUAGCUGAGAUUACAGGCGCCCACCACCAAAAAAAAAAUAACCCAGCCUCAGAGGUGCUUAUUUAGCAAAUUCAACCUUAAACCUGAGUGCAUGGAAACUAUUGAUGCAGUGUCCAAGGUGGAGAAAGGUCAGAGUGGAUCCAGAGGAGCCAAGAGAAGACGUCCAGCAUGGUGACCUGGGCUCAAGUCAAGGUCCUUAUUUCUCUG
rnacentral:lncRNA from 1 species